AUGCAUUUCAUUAUUAUCUUU
rnacentral:sRNA from 1 species